rnacentral:rRNA from 1 species
GACUGUACAAAGGUAGCAUAAUCACUUGUCUUUUAAUUGGAGACUGGAAUGAAAGAUUUGAUGAAAAUUAUACUUUCUUUAUUUUAUADAAAAAACUUAAUUUUUAAGUUAAAAAGCUUAAAUAUUGUUAAGGGACGAGAAGACCCUAUAGAACUUUAUUUAUAUAAUUAUAUAAUAAAUUUUGGUUUUGAUUUUUUAUAAAAUUAUAUAAAUUAUAUUGGGGUGAUAGAAAAAAUUUUUUAACUUUUUUUAAUUUGGACAUUUAUAUAUGUAUUUUUGAUCCUUUUUUGAAGAUUAUAAGAUUAAGUUACCUUAGGGAUAACAGCGUUAUUAUUUUGUGGAGAUCUUAUCGAUAAAAUAGUUUGCGACCUCGAUGUUGGAUUAAAAUUAGAUAUAGGGGUAGAGGUUUAUAAUCUAAGUCUGUUCGACUUUUAAUUUUUUACA